UACGAAGGGGGCUAGCGUUGCUCGGAAUUACUGGGCGUAAAGGGCGCGUAGGCGGAUACUUAAGUUAGAGGUGAAAGCCCAGGGCUCAACCCUGGAAUAGCCUUUAAUACUGGGUAUCUUGAGUUCGGGAGAGGUGAGUGGAAUGCCGAGUGUAGAGGUGAAAUGCGUAGAUAUUCGGAGGAACACCAGUAGCGAAGGCGGCUCACUGGUCCGGUACUGACGCUGAGGUGCGAAAGCGUGGGGAGCAAACAGG
rnacentral:rRNA from 1 species